rnacentral:rRNA from 1 species
AGGGGGUGCAAACGUUGCUCGGAAUUAUUGGGCGUAAAGCGCGCGUAGGCGGCUGCCUAAGUCAGAUGUGAAAGCCCUCGGCUCAACUGGGGAAGUGCAUCUGAAACUGAGUGGCUCGAGUAUCGAAGAGGAUCGCGGAAUUCCCAGUGUAGAGGUGAAAUUCGUAGAUAUUGGGAGGAACACCGGCGGCGAAGGCGGCGAUCUGGUCGAAUACUGACGCUGAGGCGCGAAAGCGUGGGGAGCAAACAGGAUUAGAUACCCUGGUAGUCCACGCCGUAAACGAUGGGUGCUAGAUGUUGCUGGUAUUGACCCCGGCAGUGUCGUAGCUAACGCGUUAAGCACCCCGCCUGGGGAGUACGGCCGCAAGGCUA